GGGAGACCCAGGAGCUUCCGGCGGAAGCUGGAUUUCACUACAGAGCGGUGACCCCAGAGGACAACCGUAGCAGGUUUCGGUGAGAGGAUACCAGAGCAGGCGGGCUGGAGAAACCGCAACGAAGAAUGCCUGCACUUUUCCAGAUCUUAGGGGGUAAAUGAGAGGAAAAGCCUGGUCUGCCUAUCUGCGCAAAGUGCCCCAGGUUUGGAGGAUUCACCCAAGGGAAGAGACCCACACACAAUUCAGACCCUUCAAGAAUCUACAGCCUGAAGAUACCCAUUCACAGAGCUCAUUCCUUCUCCAGGAGUUUCUCUGGAAUAGCUCUGGCUUAUUGUCCAGAGUGAGCAGGAGUCUC
rnacentral:lncRNA from 1 species